AUGGAAUUUGGCAGCUCCAUUUCAUUCGCUGUCAAUCAGCGUCGCUGCUACUUGAUGCUUCCUCCUCGCUUUAGAUCCCCCAUUUCUUUUGGCGAUGCCCAGAGCGCAGUUGUAUCCCAGCCAGGCAGCCCUCAUCACCAAGCGAUUAAAUCAUCGGGAAAAAAACCAGGAGAGACGUCUCUUCUCAGACAUAAUAGUAAAAAGGGGGCGGCGGGGCCCCCCCCCCCCCCCCCCCCCCCCCCCCCCCCCCCCCCCCCCCCCCCCCCCCCCCCCCCCCCCCCCCCCCCCCCCCCCCCCCCCCCCCCCCCCCCCCCCCCCCCCCCCCCCCCCCCCCCCCCCCCCCCCCCCCCCCCCCCCCCCCCCCCCCCCCCCCCCCCCCCCCCCCCCCCCCCCCCUGGUGCCGAGCGGUGCUGGAGAGCGGCGGCUGCAGGGGGCAGAGCGGGGAAGGCUCCUGCGCCCAGCUGGGUUUGUUUUCCCGGCGUCCCAAAGUGCCUGGACCCGGGGUUGGUUCUGUUUGGGGUCCCGCUGCAGCUGUGCUGGGCUGCUGUGGGUGCUGCGUGGAGGGAUUGGGGUGUUGGGGAGUGUGGGCAGCACACCAGGGACUGACAUCCUGACAUCUGAGGGUCCUGAGCCCUGAGCAUCCUGAUCCCUGAGCAUCUUGAUUCUUGGACAUCCCAAUCUCUGAGCAUCCUGAUCCCUGAGCAUCCUGAUCUCUGAGCAUCCUGUGCCCUGACUAUCCUGACCCCUGAACAUCUUGAUUCUUGGACAUCCCAAUCCCAGAGCAUCCUGACCCCUGAAUAUCCUGAUCCUUGAGCAUCCUGAUCUUUGAGGCUCCUGAUCCCUGAUCAUCCUGAUCUUCGAACUUCCUGAUCCCUGAGCACCUUGAUCCCUGACUAUCCUGAUCCCUGAGCGUCCUGAUCCCUGAGCAUCCUGAUCUCUGAGCAUCUUGAUCCCUGAGCAUCCUGAUCUCUGGGCAUCUUGAUCCCUGAGCAUCCUGAUACCUGAACACCUUGAUCUCUGAGCAUCCUGAUCCCUGAGCAUCUUCAUCCCUGAGCAUCCUGACCCCUGAACAUCUUGAUUCUUGGACAUCCCAAUCCCAGAGCAUCCUGACCCCUGAAUAUCCUGAUCCCUGAGCACCUUGAUCCCUGACUAUCCUGAUCCCUGAGCGUCCUGAUCCCUGAGCAUCCUGAUCUCUGAGCAUCUUGAUCCCUGAGCAUCCUGAUCUCUGGGCAUCUUGAUCCCUGAGCAUCCUGAUACCUGAACACCUUGAUCUCUGAGCAUCCUGAUCCCUGAGCAUCUUCAUCCCUGAGCAUCCUGACCCCUGAACAUCUUGAUUCUUGGACAUCCCAAUCCCAGAGCAUCCUGACCCCUGAAUAUCCUGAUCCCUGAGCACCUUGAUCCCUGACUAUCCUGAUCCCUGAGCACCUUGAUCCCUGACUAUCCUGAUCCCUGACUAUCCUGAUCCCUGACAUCCUGAUCCUUGAAUAUCCUGAUCUUUGAACAUCCUGAUCCCUGAGCAUCCUGAUCCUUGAGCGUCCUGACAUCUGAAGGUCCUGAUCCCUGAGCACCUUAAUCUCUGAGCACCCUAAACCCUGAGCAUCCCCAACCCUGAACAUUGCAGCCUCUGAAUAUCCUCACCCCUGAGCAUCCCAGUUCCUGAGCAUUCCAACAUCCAAGGAUCCUGAUCUCUGAACAUCCCAGCCUUUGGGAAUCCUGGUCCCUGAGCAUUCUGAUCCCUGAGCAUCCUGGUCUCCAAUAAUCCAAUCCCCUGAGCAUCCUGAUCUCUAAGCAUCCUGAGCCCCGAGCACCUCGGCUCUGAGCAUCCUUCUCUCCAAGAAUCCUGACCCCUGAUCACCCUGACCCUCAAUCGUCCUGCCUCAGAUCACCCCAGCCUCAGAUCAUCCUACCUCAGAUCAUCUCAGUCUCAGAUCAUCCCAAACUCAGAUCAUCCUAAACUCACAUCAUCCCACCCCCCCCCCCCCCCCCCCCCCCCCCCCCCCCCCCCCCCCCCCCCCCCCCCCCCCCCCCCCCCCCCCCCCCCCCCCCCCCCCCCCCCCCC
ensembl:lncRNA